rnacentral:rRNA from 1 species
CCUUGUGCCAGCAGCCGCGGUAAAACCAGCUCUUCAAGUGGUCGGGAUAAUUAUUGGGCUUAAAGUGUCCGUAGCCGGUUUAGUAAGUUCCUGGUAAAACCGGGCAGCUUAACUGUCCGUAUGCUAGGAAUACUGCUAUGCUAGAGGGCGGGAGAGGUCUGAGGUACUACAGGGGUAGGGGUGAAAUCUUAUAAUCCUUGUAGGACCACCAGUGGCGAAAGCGUCAGACUGGAACGCGCCUGACGGUGAGGGACGAAAGCCAGGGGAGCGAACCGGAUUAGAUACCCGGGUAGUCCUGGCCGUAAACGAUGCAUACUAGGCAAUGGUGCGGCCAUGAGCCGCAUCAGUACCGUAGGGAAACCGUUAAGUGUGCCGCCUGGGAAGUACGGUCGCAAGGCUAAAACUUAAAGGAAUUGGCGGGGGAGCACCACAAGGGGUGAAGCCUGCGGUUCAAUUGGACUCAACGCCGGGAAACUUACCAGGGGAGACAGCAGAAUGACAGUCAGGUUGACGACCUUACUCGACGAGCUGAGAGGAGGUGCAUGGCCGUCGCCAGUUCGUGCUGUGAGGUAUCCUGUUAAGUCAGGCAACGAACGAGAUCCGCGCCUUUAUUUGCCAUCAAGAAGUCACGACUUCGUUGGGAACACUAAAGGGACCGCCGUCGAUAAGACGGAGGAAGGAGCGGGCAAAGGCAGGUCUGU